CCACAUCUGCUGGUCGCAGCAGGUCCAAGGCCAGCUCGACCCAACGGGCGGGGUCAUAGGCCCCAGCUCUCCGUGGACCGGGAUAAAUCACACGCCCGCGAGCAUGCUGGGAGGCGGACUUCGGGGCCAUCCUAUUUGAUCCGCAAAAACAGGUAGAGAAAGAAGCGACAGCGGGAGGCACGUGCGUGGGUCCUGCAGUCUCCUCACAGGAGCUGCUCGGGAGAAGCCAGGCUGGCGGCUUUAGGAGGAGGCGGUGUGUCCUUAAAACAAGAUGUCUGUGGGCUGACCGUGUCGUUUCGGAGGCGAGGAAAGGGUUCUACGGGUUUGGAUUCUCCACCUCGUGUGCUGUGUGGACGCUUUCAUCACUUUUCUUCUCCGUUCUUGCUGGGUAGUUAUUUUAUUUAAAAGUUGUCUGACCUUGUGAGAGUCUGUUAACCCCUGGCCAAUACUUGCCCACAGGGCAGGAGGGAGAUAACGGAGGGAGACGGUGAAGCAGCUGGGCUACACGGACAAGUUCCUCACUCCAGUACAUCGGGGAGUUAUUCGUGCUCAGGACCAGCUGGACCAGUUGCUGGUUCUGCCUGUGCUGGUACUGAGCUCCUCUGAUGUGCUGACUGCCGUUACCUCGGAGUAAUGUCGACCUCCUCUACCUGCGGACUCUUGCUGAACUUCUGUUCCGCCAGCCAGGAAUCACCUUCACCUGCUGUUUUCAGCUCGAAGGCUGUUGCCUCCCUAUGGUUGCUGGCUUCCUCUCCAUACUGCCCUUCUCCUCCUUCUGGCUGGUGGCAAGCUUCCCCUUGAGCUCGUCACGUUCUUCAGUGCAGCACAACACAGAGUAAAGGUCCAUGGGUGUUUAUGCGGCGGCUGGAGCAGCCAGAAGAACCCUCUGCUCACCAACACCUUCCUCUGUCUCCCAAGUCCUUCCUGUCGGCUCCUUGCAGACAGACGGCUAAGUUCACCUGGGGUAGGACAGAAACAGCCUCGUGUCCCGAUAAGUGUCCCCAGGCGUAGUCAGAGUAAAGGUCGUUGGGAAGUACAGUUGUUAUUACUGCCCGCUCCUUGCACGGUAAGGGCUCUUUCCUCAGAGAAAUGAUUUUGAAAGUUCCUAAAAUUCUCAUAUGAAAAAGAAACUCUCUAAAAUAAAAUAAACUUCGCAUAAGAAUAGUAUCA
rnacentral:lncRNA from 1 species